AUACGUAUGGGGCAAGCGUUAUCCGGAUUUAUUGGGCGUAAAGCGCGCGUAGGCGGAUCGUUAAGUCAGAUGUGAAAUCCGGGGGCUCAACCCGCGGCCUGCAUCUGAAACUGGCGGUCUUGAGUCUGGUAGAGGAAAGUGGAAUUCCUAGUGUAGCGGUGAAAUGCGCAGAUAUUAGGAGGAACACCAGUGGCGAAGGCGGCUUUCUGGGCCACGACUGACGCUGAGGCGCGAAAGCUAGGGGAGC
rnacentral:rRNA from 1 species